CGUUACAGCAGCGUUUAGGACGUUUGGCGGUGACCCACAUCCGUUAGAAGCUCGAUUUAGGCUACCCACACCUUGGCGAGCUAGAUCUAGGUGACCCACACCUAUACGAAGUCGGUUUUGGUGUGCUUAGGUGUGAGGUCGACGCAAAACUUAAGGGCGCGGUUGUGAGUGAAGGACUCGUGGGCGACCAUGGUGAUGAG